rnacentral:rRNA from 1 species
CCUACGGGUGGCAGCAGUGGGGAAUAUUGGACAAUGGGGGGAACCCUGAUCCAGCCAUGCCGCGUGUGUGAAGAAGGCCCUCGGGUUGUAAAGCACUUUCAGUGAGGAAGAACGCCUGGUGGUUAAUACCCAUCAGGAAAGACAUCACUCACAGAAGAAGCACCGGCUAACUCCGUGCCAGCAGCCGCGGUAAUACGGAGGGUGCGAGCGUUAAUCGGAAUUACUGGGCGUAAAGCGCGCGUAGGUGGCUUGAUAAGCCGGUUGUGAAAGCCCCGGGCUCAACCUGGGAACGGCAUCCGGAAAUGUUAAGCUAGAGUGCAGGAGAGGAAGGUAGAAUUCCCGGUGUAGCGGUGAAAUGCGUAGAGAUCGGGAGGAAUACCAGUGGCGAAGGCGGCCUUCUGGACUGACACUGACACUGAGGUGCGAAAGCGUGGGUAGCAAACAGGAUUAGAUACCCUAGUAGUC